AACGAACGCUGGCGGCAUGCCUAACACAUGCAAGUCGAACGAACCCUUCGGGGUUAGUGGCGCACGGGUGCGUAACGCGUGGGAACCUGCCCUUAGGUUCGGAAUAACUCAGAGAAAUUUGAGCUAAUACCGGAUAAUGUCUUCGGACCAAAGAUUUAUCGCCUUUGGAUGGGCCCGCGUUGGAUUAGCUAGUUGGUGGGGUAAAGGCCUACCAAGGCGACGAUCCAUAGCUGGUCUGAGAGGAUGAUCAGCUACACUGGGACUGAGACACGGCCCAGACUCCUACGGGAGGCAGCAGUGGGGAAUAUUGGACAAUGGGCGAAAGCCUGAUCCAGCAAUGCCGCGUGAGUGAUGAAGGCCUUAGGGUUGUAAAGCUCUUUUACUGGGGAUGAUAAUGACAGUACCCAGAGAAUAAGCUCCGGCUAACUCCGUGCCAGCAGCCGCGGUAA
rnacentral:rRNA from 1 species